GACGAACGCUGGCGGCGUGCUUAACACAUGCAAGUCGAACGGAAAGGCCCUGCUUUUGUGGGGUGCUCGAGUGGCGAACGGGUGAGUAACACGUGAGUAACCUGCCCUUGACUUUGGGAUAACUUCAGGAAACUGGGGCUAAUACCGGAUAGGAGCUCCUGCUGCAUGGUGGGGGUUGGAAAGUUUCGGCGGUUGGGGAUGGACUCGCGGCUUAUCAGCUUGUUGGUGGGGUAGUGGCUUACCAAGGCUUUGACGGGUAGCCGGCCUGAGAGGGUGACCGGCCAAUUUGGGAUGGAGAUACGGCCCAGCCUCCGCGGGGGGGCAGCGGGGGGGAAUAUGGCACAGGGGGCGGAAGCCUGAUGCAGCACCGCCGCGUGCGGGAUGGCGGCCUUCGGGUUGUAACCCGCUUUCGCCGGUGACGAAGCGGGAGUGACGGUAAUGGGUAAAGAAGCACCGGCUAACUCCGUG
rnacentral:rRNA from 1 species